ensembl:snRNA U6 U6 spliceosomal RNA
GUGCUUGCUUCAGCAGCACAUAUACUAAAAUUAGAACGAUACAGAGAUUAGCGUGGCCCCUGUGCAAGGAUGAAAUUAAAGUAGUCAGAGGCUAGAGAGAACAAUUUAU